rnacentral:rRNA from 1 species
UACAGAGGUGGCAAGCGUUGUUCGGAAUUACUGGGCGUAAAGGGCUCGUAGGCGGUCUGUCGCGUCGGGAGUGAAAACUCAGGGCUUAACCCUGAGCCUGCUUCCGAUACGGGCAGACUAGAGGUAUGCAGGGGAGAACGGAAUUCCUGGUGUAGCGGUGAAAUGCGCAGAUAUCAGGAGGAACACCGGUGGCGAAGGCGGUUCUCUGGGCAUUACCUGACGCUGAGGAGCGAAAGUGUGGGGAGCGAACAGG